GUCCUGAAGGCUCAAUGGUAGAACAUAUGAUUCAAUUGUAGGGUGCAGGUUUGACUCCUGCUCGGGACA
rfam:Rhizophagus irregularis DAOM 181602 strain DAOM 197198 GLOINscaffold_6777_Cont6770, whole genome shotgun sequence.